rnacentral:sRNA from 1 species
GAAUGCGCUCUACAACUUGUUAAUAGGCACAAUACUUUGCACCGGAGUCCUCACGUCAAAGUCGACAUUCAUUGUGCCUCAAGAUUGUGCCAUUUUCUACGAGGAAACUCUCAAAUCACAGCCUAUUACUCAAAUCGUCACAAUUGGGAAGCAGCAAGAUAUAAUUUUGACCCAAGAUUUAUUCACAUAUAAAAACCUAACCAAU